rnacentral:tRNA from 2 species
GCCGGAGUGGUGAAAUUGGUAGACACGCUACCUUGAGGGGGUAGUGGGGAAACCCGUGCUGGUUCGAGUCCAGUCUCCGGUACCA